GUAAUUGUUCUCUGAGAGACUGCACCCAGCAGCUGAUGGAAACAGAUGCAGAGAUCCACAGUCAAACAUUAGAUGAAGCUCGGGAGUCUUGUGGAAGAUCUGGAGAGAGGAUUGAGGUCUCUGGAUUGUUUGGAACCAAACAGAGGAUUUCCCGAUGGGGAGUGGUGGAUAAGUCUUUGUGAACCUGUAAAAGAAAAGAUGGGAGAGAACAGGAUCCUGCUCAGAGUGACUACCCUGCAGGAAUGAGAGAGGUAGUCUGGAACUCACAGCUGCCCCUAUUGGUCUAAACCACUGUUUCUCAUGACCUCUGAAACACAGCUGAAUUCUGGGGACUCAUGGCUCUACAACAGCAAUUUUACUCUCAGAUGUCACUUGGCAGUACCUGGACGCAUUUGAAGUUGUCAUGUUGUUAAAAGGCCCACAAUGACUGUAAAUCAUGCUUUGAUUAAACGAGAGGCAUAGGCGCUAUAGAUGAUGCAGGGAUGUGGUUCCAAAUCUUGACUGGCUUUGCGAGUUCUGCAAUCGUGGAGAGCUUCCUCUUCGGUUAAUUGUGAUGAUCUGGACAG
rnacentral:lncRNA from 1 species